UGAUGAUUGAAAUGUGAUGAGUACACAAAAUGUUGAUGAAAAUGAAAAACAUGAAGAUCCAACUCUGAUUUCAUUAAAGA
rnacentral:snoRNA from 1 species